rnacentral:lncRNA from 1 species
UCAAAAUAAACACUUCCAUUAAAAUGGAGCGAGCAGAAUAAUUUUAUAAUCAAGUGAGACUACAUAUGUUCGACUACAAUCCAUGUCACUGUUUUUCAUAAGUUAAUACAACAAGAUAUUGUAUUAAAGAUACAUAUAAUAAGCUAAUGAUCUUGAUCAAAGUCCCCAACAACAGAGAACUCAGCAGCAAAAAGAUUUAACUUUAUAAGUUACUAAAAUAAAAAUUAACUUACAUAUCCCUACUUAUUUAGACAACGUAAGUUUGACCAAAACCUCUCUGUACUAAAGUUGUCUCUACCACGAAACUUCAAUGAAUUAAUUCAUGCAGCAGGAGUAUAAUCAUAAUCUCCAUCAUCAUCUCCAUCUGAACACAUCCUUCUCUUCUCGAACCCAAUAAUCUUGAAAAUUCCAGACAUUUUAUACCUUAGAGAAAGCUUGAAAUAUGAGCUAGCUAGAUAUUGUAUGUGUGUACUUGUAUAUAGUAUUUG